UACGGGGGGAGCAAGCGUUGUUCGGAUUUACUGGGCGUAAAGGGCGCGUAGGCGGCCUCUGCAAGUCGACUGUGAAAUCUCCGGGCUUAACCCGGAAAGGUCAGCCGAUACUGCAGGGCUAGAGUGCAGAAGGGGCAACUGGAAUUCUCGGUGUAGCGGUGAAAUGCGUAGAUAUCGAGAGGAACACCUGCGGCGAAGGCGGGUUGCUGGGCCGAUACUGACGCUGAGGAGCGAAAGCUAGGGGAGCGAACGGG
rnacentral:rRNA from 1 species